rnacentral:rRNA from 1 species
UACGGAGGGGGCCCAGCGUUGUUCGGAAUUAUUGGGCGUAAAGGGCGCGUAGGCGGUUAUGCAAGUCGGUUGUGAAAUCCCCUGGCUUACCCAGGGAACUGCUUCCGAUACUGCACGACUUGAGUCCGGGAGAGGAGAGUGGAAUUCCCAGUGUAGCGGUGGAAUGCGUAGAUAUUGGGAGGAACACCGGUGGCGAAGGCGGCUCUCUGGACCGGUACUGACGCUGAGGCGCGAAAGCCAGGGGAGCAAACAGGAUUAGAUACCCUGUAGU